rnacentral:lncRNA from 1 species
AGUGGUCAAGGAGAGACAGUAGCAAGUAUUUUGAUUGACUUGAAUGGUUUCUGGACGUAUGAAAACAGAGAAGUCUUGGUGAUGCAAGAAAGUCAAGGAGCUUCAGAAGUUUGAUGUAUCGACAAAUCAGGCAAGGCAUCAUUAGUUAUCCCUCCACAAAAUAAGAAUGUCUUUGCCACCACAAUAUCAGUAGGCAUCAUUUUGAAAGUAAAAUGAUACAGAAUCGCAUUUUUUUUUGUCCAAGGCAUAGACUUGACUACAGUCCUGACUCCUGAGUUGUAUAUAAAUGUACAGACGCUGUUAUUUAUUAAAUAUUUUACUCUUUUACAAUGUUGGCAACUUAGAAAAUACAGUAGCAAAUAUUAAUGUAUCGGAAAUUUAAUGAAAUUGAGAAUUUCAGUUAGCUACAGUACGAAAUCUGGCUAAACGUACUUGUGAAAGCGGCGUGUAACACCAAAUAUUUGACUGUGGCUAG